UCCUACGGGAGGCAGCAGUAGGGAAUUUUCGGCAAUGGGGGAAACCCUGACCGAGCAACGCCGCGUGAAGGAAGAAGUAAUUCGUUAUGUAAACUUCUGUCAUAGAGGAAGAACGGUGGAUAUAGGGAAUGAUAUCCAAGUGACGGUACUCUAUAAGAAAGCCACGGCUAACUACGUGCCAGCAGCCGCGGUAAUACGUAGGUGGCGAGCGUUAUCCGGAAUUAUUGGGCGUAAAGAGGGAGCAGGCGGCACUAAGGGUCUGUGGUGAAAGAUCGAAGCUUAACUUCGGUAAGCCAUGGAAACCGUAGAGCUAGAGUGUGUGAGAGGAUCGUGGAAUUCCAUGUGUAGCGGUGAAAUGCGUAGAUAUAUGGAGGAACACCAGUGGCGAAGGCGACGAUCUGGCGCAUAACUGACGCUCAGUCCCGAAAGCGUGGGGAGCAAAUAGGAUUAGAUACCCUAGUAGUCCACGCCGUAAACGAUGAGUACUAAGUGUUGGGAGUCAAAUCUCAGUGCUGCAGUUAACGCAAUAAGUACUCCGCCUGAGUAGUACGUUCGCAAGAAUGAAACUCAAAGGAAUUGACGGGGGCCCGCACAAGCGGUGGAGCAUGUGGUUUAAUUCGAAGCAACGCGAAGAACCUUACCAGGUCUUGACAUCGAUCUAAAGGCUCCAGAGAUGGAGAGAUAGCUAUAGAGAAGACAGGUGGUGCAUGGUUGUCGUCAGCUCGUGUCGUGAGAUGUUGGGUUAAGUCCCGCAA
rnacentral:rRNA from 1 species